UGUAUUCUCAUACAACCGCAUCCGUUUCAUACACUGCGUGCUUCGGCCCUUCCCUCUCCGACACACACUCUCAAACCUGCCGUGGUGAUGGUUGCACAUACUCGUCGCUGCUGCUUACCCACCUCGCCUCCCCUUCAUAUCUCCAUUACUCUCACCCGCACACACACACACACACACACACACACACACACACACACACAAAAGCCAACAAACCUAAAGUCUAAAUUAACCGUUGAUUCACAAUCUGCACCUGGCAACUGAGGUUUGUAACUCCUUCCUUCACUUCGCCCGGUCUUGUUCUUUUUCACGUUUUCGUUUUUUUUUUCAGUUUUCGGCUGCCGUGGUUUCUCACACAAGUCCUCUGAGCCUUCCCUCCUUGUCUCUCCUCCUUCGCACGCCUCGCUCAUUCUCUACUACUACUAUCAUUUUUUUUGUUAUUGUGGUUUUGAUGGGUCUGCUCCUCCACUGGGACUUCACUAUCGCGUUUCCGUCCGUGUGUGUGCUCCGCUCUUCUCACUCUGUCUCUUUUCCCCCGUUCGCUGGUUCCUCGUGGGGGGACCUCCUUGUACGAGGCAGUGCAUCCACAUCAAAACACGCCCACGUAGGCACAGAGACAGGCAGACAGACAGGCACGAUAUCUGCGGCGGCAGACAAGAAGCGUUUUAGACAGAGUCACACUACCAAGCGCGGAAGGCACGCCAAACCUUUGCAUUGCGAAAGAUGUUCACUAACGUUUUACUCAAGCACCUGUACUCGCGUGCGGCGCUCCUGCUGCUGCUGUCGCUGCUUGCCUCUAUCCUCUCUCCAUCAAGUGUUCCAGGCAUCACGCAUGUCUACGCUGCGCCGUCACCGGCGAUGGAGGUGGCCCCGAGCGGCUCAACGUUCUCCUGGCAGAAGAUGCGGAACAUCAUGGUGACUGCUGCGAUCGCAGAGAACGUCAUGACGAAGACAUUGCCGCAGAACUUACCAAGCACUGCCGUUGCGGGUGUUGUGGUGACCACCAGCACUAGCUCGCUGGCGGCGUCCGCCAUGCCCCUCAACGAUAAGCACGUGCUAGUGCCGGGCAUCUCUGUUUCACCGGAGGAGGUGGCUGCAAAGGUGAACGGUGCUUCUUUUCCCCAAACCGAUGCUUCAGUGAGCAGCGUCGGCAGCAAGCCUCCACUGGAGGACGCCAAUGAGCUUCUGCGCAAUUAUGCCCAGCCGAUGACGGCGCUCUAUAACAGCGUGAGCGCUCCCGGCACGGAGGAAAUUUAUUUCAUUGAGAACGUGACGUAUAAAGUUCGGAUUCUGUUCUCCGGGCCGUCGGCAAGGUGGUCUAUCUCUCUCUCCAAGAGCCGCGACAACGUUUCGGUGACGAUCGUGCAAGCGAUCGAGGUGUUCUCUAACUCACGCAGAAUGAUUUGCACGCCUACGGUAGAUUCCAUGAGGGUGAUGGAGAAGGAUCCAGAGCUGAAGCAGAUCGGCGAUGGCCAUGGCGGCCUCAUCGUGGACAUCACGGUGAACUGUGGCGGCACUAACUUCAUGAUCGGCCGCUUCCUCGACUCGUCGGAGUACGCCAGCACGCUGGACUUUCUCAACACAACAAACAUCACAGCUGCCUUUCAGAGUAGCUCUCGCUCGUCAUCGAGAGUUGACGUGUACACGACGAUGGUCCGCGGCGGAGAAAACACGUUCAUCUGUGACCGCGUGUGCAAAGGAAUGAUCGCCAUGGGCUGCCUCAUCGUGGGCCUGUGCGCUGUUUGCGUCGCCAUCACCCUGGUUGCCAUAUGCUGCCCGUGCUACUGCGUGCGUGCCGAUUGGGGGAACUCCACCGACAACUCCACCACAUUUGAUUACCCAGACUGCAGCAACGCUGACGCGGAGAGUAGUAGGCUCGAUAUGCUGCAGGAAGGCAUGCAUGUAUACGGCGACCAGAACGCGUCGCACUACUUCGCCACGGUACCCAAGAGAACGAUGAGCUUCAGCAAGCCGAAUGCCUAGUAGCCGACCUCAAGUAAGAAGAGCUCCUUGGUACAACCCCCUCCGCUCCCCUCUCCAUUCUAUCCUGCAGCUCGUGCGCAUCGCAUAAUACCUCCUUUGUCCCUCGCCCGUCCGUGUCACUUGUAGCGCUCCCAGACACACAGACGCCCAUACAAGCGCGGUUCUCUCGCCCGUCUUCUUUCCCUCUCUUGCCUUCUGGAUUCGGAGUUGGGCGUGCAUUCUGUGCGUCACCGUAGAACCACUCUAACGUGCGGGCUCGCUCACACGUAAAAUCAGGAAGCCGCAACACAGAGAAAGAGGCGAAUGGAGAUGCCGGCUGGCAGGAGAAGUGGGCAAAGAUGAGGGAAGGAGGCGGCGGCGGCAGACUUGCGAUGACGGAUUCGAAGUAGGCAGCUGUGCUGUGCAAUGCCUUUUGCGCAGCACUGCUCUCACGUGUGUGUGUGUGUGUAUGCGUGCACCGGCGUGUGCGCCGUGCUGUGCUUUUCAUGUUUUAUUCUGUCGAGAGCUUUUGACCGUGUCGCUGCUUCGGCGCGGUUGGCUCGCUCUGAGUUUACUUUGUUAGACUCAAAUUUUCUUCAACACACUGACAUACGUGCGCCUGCGCAGACACGUACCCUCUCCUCAGCCCAUCUGUUGCUCUCUGAGAAGCUCACCCCCUCGACCCCUUGUAUUCUUUCCGUCGCCUUUCUCCCGAUCAUUUUCUCUGCCUCUCUCGAUACGAAUGGCAGGGGUUGUAUGUGUGAACAUUCGCUGGAUUUCUCGGCGCGCUUAUAUGCGUGCUGUUCAGCCUUGUUUUUUUUUUCUCGACUCCAUCCUUCUCCGCAUGUUUCACUCCGUGCCGCUCUCUCUCUUUGCGCCUCCUCCUAUAGGCCUGCGUGCUUAGCUUAGUUGCUUCUCCUCGCCCUCUCCCCCCUUCAUCCCCAAGGUGCACCCCCCUUCGCCAUUACGCCCGUUCCGUAGUCUCCCCUAGCCCCCUCCCAUCCGCCGCCUUACCUUCCUCCUUGCGCAGAUUAUCAACACCCUCGUUUUUGACAAGCCACAUCUGUUGACACUUCACACACACACACACACACACACACACACACACACACACACACACACACACACACACACACACACACACACACACACACGAUAUACACCGAAGCGUAUGGAACACUCCGAGACUCAGACAAAACGCCGGGAUCUGCUGCGGGUAUUUUUCCUUUUCCUUGGCUUUCUCCAUCUUUAUAUAUAUAUAUAUAUAUAUCUGUUUAUGUUUAUGGUGCGUAAGGCGCCUCCGUCUUAAG
rnacentral:misc_RNA from 1 species